GGUAUCAGACGAAGCGAGUGUAUAUUCACGACUCACGUUUCGUGGAAUUUUAUAGCAAAUGGGAUCUGUCACACUGAACGUUGGUGAGCCCGUCUCGGGUGCCGCCAUAUUCCGGGGACUCGGAACUUCGGAGGUUUCCUGGGUAUGAGAGUUUCGGGUCUCGUUCUUUCUGCCAACGGAACGGCUGGUGAUAAGAAGUGCGCGACGCGACUAGUGACUUUAACCUUUUGCCUUUGCCUUUUACCUUAAUAGUGUUUCGUAAGUGAAUUCUUGGAUUUUUGCGUCCGCUUUCUUAAAUACAGUUCACUUUAACAUACAAUAAGCAGCGUCCAAUAAGACGCUUUUUGUAUGGGCUGGAAAUUUUUGCUGCAAUUGCGAAAGCCCACGCCGGGUUUCGUACGCCGUCCUGAGGGACGUUCCUCUACGUUUUGGAUCAGCCUCUCGGCGCGUCUUCGCCGCCAUUUUGGUGACUCUACAUUCCGUGACCGUGUGACGCUCCGGCCCGCCAUCUUGGCAGUCAAACGGAGUCGUGGAAGUCCGUCAAUUCCCGUUGGCAGAAAACACACACCGGUCGCCAAUUGCCGGUCGUGAAAAGGGUCCACCACGUUACAACCCCCGGACCCUUCCGAGAGCCGUACGUAGUCAAAUUGUCGUACACCCCCGGGUCGGGAAUCCUGUUGGUUUUAACUUAAAGCCUCCAAUGGUGGGGUGUUCGUUUGCCUCCAGGACGAAGACCCAGUCCGGACAGCGCCCGACACUCCGUGUCCAUCGCGCGUGAGCUGAGCUCGGCUCGCUCUUUAUUGGCUCUGCGGAAUUGUGCACUUGUGAAAUCGGAAAGCUUCCCGUCCAGCCGCCCACACUCCGCAACUUUAGUUUCGGCCACGAGCGUCCACGUAGUCCUACGUCACCCAACGAGGGAGCUGGAACGCACCACGUGACCAGCGUCUACCUUCUCGGCGUCGUGCUCCACCGCACGGCCAAUCAGCAUCGAGCGUCGCUCGACGGCGGAUUCCCGCCAAAGCAGAGGAACCAACUCGACACCUCCAGACUGCCAGCAUCUACCAGAACAUCGCAUCAGCAGUUUUCGCCGGCCCUCGACGGCCGGGCGUCCUCGCGGCAGCAUGUGCACCAACACCAACAAAACCCUGCGCAGGUAUGUGAGAGACCCUUGAAUCAUGGCCAUGUUUCCUCUCUCCCAUUUCCCUUACCCACACAAACAAUUGUCUAGCUCGAACUCUCGCGGUAGUUUUAUGCUCCGGGAAAUGGAAUCCCGCAAAUACACAGUGAAACCAUGAUUUUGCGAA